rfam:Oryza barthii chromosome 3, whole genome shotgun sequence.
UUUAAGUAUAACCAUAAGUUUUCGCGCUCAACUUUGAUCGUCCGUCUUAUUUGAAAUUUUUUUAUAAUUAGUAUUUUUAUUAUUAUGAGAUGAUAAAACAUGUAUAGUACUUUACUCGUGAUUUAUGUUUUUAAAAUUUUUUCAAAAUUUUUUUAAAUAAGACGGACGAUCAAAAUUGGGCAUGAAAAACCAUGGGUAUACUUAAA